rnacentral:rRNA from 1 species
UACAGAGGUCUCAAGCGUUUGUUCGGAUUCAUUGGGCGUAAAGGGUGUGUAGGUGGCGCCGUAAGUCGGGGUGUGAAAUUUCGGAGCUUAACUCCGAAACUGCAUUCGAUACUGCGGUGCUUGAGGACUGGAGAGGAGACUGGAAUUCCUGGUGUAGCGGUGAAAUGCGCAGAUAUCAGGAGGAACACCGGUGGCGAAGGCGGGUCUCUGGGCCGAUACUGACGCUGAGGAGCGAAAGCGUGGGGGAGCGAACAGG